rnacentral:misc_RNA from 1 species
UCUCCGUUGGUGAACCAGCGGAGGGAUCAUUAUCGAGUUUACAACUCCCAAACCCUCUGUGAACCUUACCUAUCGUUGCUUCGGCGGUACCGCCCCGGCGCCUCUGUGCGCGGCUCUAGGCGCCCGCCGGAGACCACAAGCUCUUACGUUUUUGGAUAGCGGCAUUAUCUGUGUAUCAUUAAACAAAUGAAUCAAAACUUUCAACAACGGAUCACUUGGUUCUG